rnacentral:tRNA from 1 species
GCGGAUAUGGCGGAACUGGCAGACGCGCAGGACUUAGAUUCCGGUGGGAGACCGUGGAGGUUCGAUUCCUGUUAUCCGCACCA